rnacentral:miRNA from 1 species
CUCCGUUCCAUAAAGAUUGGC